AGUGGCUGGAUGACUGUUUUCCUCCUUCUAUAGUCCACCACCAUCUCCUUUGUCUUGGAGAUGUUGAGGAUCAAAUUGUUCUUCCUACACCAGACCGACAACCACUGCACCUCCUCUCUAUAGGUGGACUUAUCCUCACCAGAAAUAAGUCCCACCAUAGUAGUGUCAACAGCAAACUUAAUGAUAUUGUUGCUGAAGUGAGAGGGGGGUGCAGUCAUAGGUGUAGAGGGUGUAGAGCAAAGGACUCAGCACGCAGCCCUGAGGAGAGCCGGUGCUGAGGCUAAUGGCCAAAGAGAUGUGAGGGCCAACUCUCACCCUCUGAGAGCGGUCUGUGAGGAAGUCCAAGAUCCACCGGCAAAUAGAGUGGGACACCCCAUGUCCAACAACUUAAUCACCAGUCUGCUUGGAAGAAUGGUAUUAAAUGCUGAGCUAAAGUCCACAAAGAGCAGCCCCACAUAGCUCCCCUGCUGCUCCAGAUGGGACAGAGCAGCAUGUAGAGCCAUAAUGAUGGCAUCCUCCGUGGACCUGCUCGCACGAUAAGCAAACUGGUGAGGGUCAAACCCAGGGGGAAGGCAGGACUGGAAAUAUGAUGUAGGCCCGGACUAACUUUUCAAAGCACUUCAUAAUAAUCAGAGUUAGUGCCACCGGGCGAUAGUCAUUCAGAUCACUGAUCCUGGUCUUCUUAGGGAGGGGGACAAUAAUAGAGGACUUCAGGCAGGGGGGAACAGCAGCCUGGCUCAGAGACUGGUUGAAAAUGUUUG